AACUUAAAUAUUUACCCGAUAUUUUAUUUUAUUCUUUUUUUUUUUUAUUACAGCACCUGAGAUAACCAAAGAAAAGCCAAAGCCAGCACCAAAGAAAGAGGCCGAAGUCAUCAAAGAGAAAGCUAAACCAUCUCCUGAGAAGAAAGGUAAUAGUUUCUUAUUGUAGCUUGAUAUGUGCUGUCAAGUUAAAGACCAGGCUUUAAUUUACUCAAAUCAAGUUUUUCUCAUUCAACUAAAUAUUUUUCUUUCAGAAGCUGAAGUCAUCAAAAAGAAAGUUAAACCAACUCCUGUAAAGAAAGAGCCUGAAGUUGCUAAAGAAAAGGCACCUGAACCGGCACCAAAAAUAGCACCUGAGAUAGUCAAAGAAAAGCCAAAGCCAGCACCAAAGAAAGGUAAUGCAAUUCAUUCGUAAUGCAUUCAUUUCGUAUUUCUAUUUUGCCCAGUUUAAAGAUAAUGAUAAAGCUUUAAAUAUAUUAUAUUAUCAUGAUUUUAGAGGCUGAAGUCAUCAAAGAGAAACCUAAACCAGUUCCUGAGAAGAAAGGUUUGAUUAACUGUUAUCAAAUUGCCAUAAUUCUUAAGCCAAAUUAAGACUGUGCAAAUAAAAUGUUUGCUUUCUCUAAACAUUCUUAUGUUGUCAUAAUUGCAGAGGCUGAAGUCAUCAAGGAGAAAGUUAAGCCAGCUCCUGUAAAGAAAGGUAUUGAUGUGAAUAAAAUCAUCCUGUAAUGAUGUUGCUUCCCAAUGAAUGAUCAUUCAUCACUUGAAACUGCUCUUUUAUAGAGCCUGAAGUUCAUAAAGAAAAGGCACCUGAACCAGUGCCAGAACCUACAAAGAAAGGUAUAUAGUGUCAUCGAUCAUUAUCUUUUAAUAUUUGCACAUUGCACAUCUGAUG
rnacentral:lncRNA from 1 species